rnacentral:misc_RNA from 1 species
CCUAGUAAAAGUGACCAAACAAUUACAGAUGACCUUUAAUUGUCAUAGUCAAAACAUCUCCAUAGACAACAAACCAGUGACAUGACCUCUUUUUCUUUUCCCCCUCUUUUGACUAUUUUAUUUAUCAACAAAGAAGUGCAGAUACUGGAGUCAUUGAAAAAAUGGAUAAACAUGAAAAGUUGUCAAUACAAUAUUCAUGUCAAUAAAUCUAUUUAUACCUCUUUUUCUUUUCCCUCUCUUUUGACUAUG